rnacentral:rRNA from 1 species
AUGCGCGCGGGCCUUCAUGCCAUCCAUCAGCGUCAGCAGCUGGGAGACGAUGCACCUCUCGACCUCACCGUGAGUCUUCUCCCUGUUUGGAGCAAUGGAGUCGAUCUCAUCGAUGAAUAUGAUGGAGGGCGCGUUCUUCUCGGCUUCUUCGAAGGCCUUCCUCAGGUUGCUCUCGCUCUCUCCGGCCAUCUUGGACAUUAUCUCCGGGCCGUUGAUGAGGAAGAAGAAGGCCCCGGUCUCGUUGGCGACCGCGCGGGCGAUCAGCGUCUUGCCCGACCCGGAAGGGCCAUAGAGGAGGAUGCCCUUGGGAGGCUUGACGCCAAUGCUCUUGAAGAUCUGCGGAUGCCUGAGCGGCAGCUCGACGAGCUCCCUGAUCAGAGUGAGCGGUUUCCCCAUGCCACCCACGUCGUCGUAGCCGACGCCGUCGAGCCUCUCCUCGUCCUCCCGCUUGACCAGCUCGCCCUCGCAGAAUAUCUCCGUAUCGGGUGCCACGACGCAGUAGUCCACCGCGGGGUCGAUCUUCAUGACCUUGAACUCGACGCUCCGCAUGCCGCCACGCACGAGGAAGAGGUCACCCUUGUGGACCGGGCGGUAGGCGUCCACGAAGUAGGGCUUGAGAUAGGCGUCGAAGAGGUUCCCCGCGAUGCCCUCGACGGUGUCGUCCAAGGGGAGGAUGUGCACGCGUCUGCCGAACUUGGCGUCGUGGCACAGGUGCACCGACACGACGUCGGCGAUGCGCACGCGCAGGUUGGAGUGGGCCACCUUGUUGAUCCUGAGCUUGUGCCCCUCGCAGGUGUCGUCGGGCAGUGCCAUGCAGACCGUGUUGUGGCGGCGCUUGCCCUUGAGCAGCACGAUGUCGCCUUUGAAUAUGGAGAGCUUCUCCAUGGUGGCGGGGUGGAGGAUGCACACGGAGUUGUCGUCGUUGGUGGUGGCCUCCUCCACCACCAGCCGGUUCGCCGCCUUCUUCGACGCCGCCACGCUCGCCAUCGCGUUCAACUCUCUUUGGUCGAUUCGCUGCGUCUCUCGUGGAUUACUACUCUCGUUGGAUGUCGAGGGCUUCGUGUUGCGGUGAAGAGGGUACCUGGGGGUGAGCCCCCCUUUUGA